AUGAGACUCAACAAUCAACUACCUCUGUGUCUUCAGGCUGUAGAACCAGCAGGAACACAUGAGGUCCAGGAUCAGAGAGUCUCUCACAGACAGCGGUCUGGUUCUUCCUCAGUGUUGAACUCAGUUGUUCCCAGUAUGAAGUUCCCCACUGAACUCCUCUGAGACCAGCUGUUCCCCAGCAGAACCACCCUCAGCUCAGACACUGCAGAGAAAAGGCAGAAAAGGACAAACACAGAUUUGCAUUUAUUCAGUUAUAGUUUCAUUGCUGUUCAGUUAUUUAUUGACAUAAUUUAACUUGGAAAUUCUGAAUUCAGAUGCUCUUUAAUAGCAGGAUGACACAGUUCAGUUUGACUCACUGUUAGGUGGCAGGAUUUCAUAACUGCUGCUGCGCUUCAGAGGAUGCAGAUCAUCUGUGAAUGUGAGGAAACAAUAUAUGUUUACUUAUUUACUUCUUUAAUCUGUCACUGACCUUCUUAUGACACUAACAUUGUCAGCAUUCAUGCAGUCCUCUAAAACUUUGGACCACUUCUGAAAUAACACAUGGAAAACGUCCAGAACCCAACGUAAUCUUAAAAGUGACCCAAGGAUGACUUGGACUCGAGAUUUGGGACUCAUAAAAACCUUUAUGUUUAAUCAACAUUAAGAAAAUGUCUGACUGUUUGCAAAAUGAAUAUUAAGGAUGCUGAUCGAUCACAUCAAACUCUAUCAGGUACCUGAUGUGUCGGUCACCUGGUCCUGUGAAAGUUACCUCAGCACCUGCUACAUGUUUAGUACAGUGUGUUUUGCUGAGUUUCGUUCCAAAACACAAACAUUUCUUUCAGGAAUAAAAGUCAGCUGAAAUAA